UACGGAGGGUGCAAGCGUUAAUCGGAAUUACUGGGCGUAAAGCGUGCGCAGGCGGUUUGUUAAGUCCGUUGUGAAAGCCCCGAGCUCAACUUGGGAAUUGCAGUGGAUACUGGCAGGCUGGAGUACGGUAGAGGAAGGUGGAAUUCCCGGUGUAGCAGUGAAAUGCGUAGAGAUCGGGAGGAACACCCGUGGCGAAGGCGGCUCACUGGGCUGACCUUGACGCUGAGGCGCGAAGGCGUGGGGAGCGAACGGG
rnacentral:rRNA from 1 species